AACAUACCCAACACUACGGAAUAGCCACUGGAAACGGUGAGUAAUACCGUAUACGCCCUUCGGGGGAAAGAUUUAUCGGUGAUGGAUUGGCCCGCGUUAGAUUAGAUAGUUGGUGGGGUAACGGCCUACCAAGUCUACGAUCUAUAGCUGGUUUGAGAGGAUGAUCAGCAACACUGGGACUGAGACACGGCCCAGACUCCUACGGGAGGCAGCAGUGGGGAAUCUUAGACAAUGGGCGAAAGCCUGAUCUAGCGAUGCCGCGUGAGUGACGAAGGCCUUAGGGUCGUAAAGCUCUUUCGCCAGGGAUGAUAAUGACAGUACCUGGUAAAGAAACCCCGGCUAACUCCGUGCCAGCAGCCGCGGUAAUACGGAGGGGGUUAGCGUUGUUCGGAAUUACUGGGCGUAAAGCGCACGUAGGCGGAUUGGAAAGUUGGGGGUGAAAUCCCGGGGCUCAACCCCGGAACUGCCUCCAAAACUAUCAGUCUAGAGUUCGAGAGAGGUGAGUGGAAUUCCAAGUGUAGAGGUGAAAUUCGUAGAUAUUUGGAGGAACACCAGUUGGC
rnacentral:rRNA from 1 species